AAAUGCUUGAGGGUUGUUGAUGAAAUCCAUGUUCAUUUGAUAUGCAUUUGCUGCUACAAAAACAUCGGAUCCAAUUUCGCGAUUGAGUUCAGUGAUCAUUUGUACAAGCUGUGGGUUGAACAAGCCGGCUGCUCUCUGCAAUUCAACGGAGCAUUGUCCGUUUAUGCCCCUCUGAGCUAUUUCCGACGGAACACAGCCUAAAGGUCCGGUGCCAGUCACCAAAACUCUACGUGCACCCAGCUCAUAUACCCUCUGUAAAUGAACUUCCAAAUUAGGAUCUUAAUAUUGAUAAAAAUAUAAAAUUGUAAAUAAAAGACAUAAUUUAAAGGAUUUUUUUUUUGGAACUAAUUAAUAGAGUACUUAAAUGUUACUAUAUAGCUUGUUAUUAUAAAGAAGAGAAAGAUACAUUCUGUGUUGAUCUUACUGAAGCAAAGACUUUAAUGAGAAAUUCACAAAUUAAUAUUUGAUAUGGAUGUCACGUAAAGGCCUUAAAUAUAAUAUGCAAAACUUAUCUGCCUCUUCAAAAUGAGCAUUAAUAUUUGUCCCCACUUUGCUUUUUUUUCUCGUCUAGAUAGGUCUAUCAUGGAGCUAAGUUGAGACACAAUAUGUAUGAUAAGAUCCACUUAUUAAAUAUAUGAGUCUCACAUAUUAGUGUCUUAAACCAUAAUAAAUCGAAUUUAAAUAAAAAUUCCUUGUUUUAUUUAUUUAUUUUUCUCUAGGGCAAAUAGUUUGCUACAAUAAAGUAUUCAAUGUUUCGUGCAUGAAAUAAUACAUAGUUAGAAUCAAAAGGGUGUUGAUAGCGCUUACGACUAAAAGUUUUCGGUACUCGGAGAUGACGUAGACUACAUAGUCUGGGAGGGAGAAUUGGCGAGAUCUAGCAGAGAAGGGGACCAAAUAGUAGUUGUUAACAAAGUCAUUGCCUCCCACGGUCAUAAGGACAAGUGCUUCAUUAACUAAUCUCUGAGUUUGCUCAGCUCCAAUAAGCCCAGUAACCCUUUGCUGGUAUUGUUGGAAGUAUUCCAAUUGCUUGUACAUUCUAAUGAUGUUUACAAAUUGAAUUCCUGUGUCAUUGAGAAUCCCAAUUCCAGCAGAAGCAAAGUUGGCGCCUGCAAGCAGUUUUUCUCCUUUGAGAAAUGGACUUAAGUAUGGCAUUGGGGAUUCUGUGCCAAUUGCCUCACUGAUAAGGUCGGGGAUGUUAAGGCCAUUAGAGAAACGG
rnacentral:misc_RNA from 1 species